rnacentral:lncRNA from 1 species
UAGGGGCCAGGGGGGUCUGGUUUUAUAGUCCCUUCAAGUGAAUCUGGGCCGUCGGAUCAAACCGACAUUGAUUGAACGGUUAUUGUUGAUCCUUUGGGUCGGUAGAGCAAUAUCCCGAAAGAAAGUCCUGAUUGGACUCUGGCUGAGAGCGGGCGCCCAGGAAAGGAGGGCGGGCGCCCUGUCCCUGUGUCCUCUUGGCCUCCGCUUCGGUCCCGUGGCUUCUGGAGUCUUCUAGAUGAUAGAAAAUUGCGCGGCACGUUAAUAUCUCUAUGUAAACCCGACGUGUGGGCCUUUCUUUCGUAUUUCCUGAUAACCCCCUGCAGAAAUAGACAAACACCAAAACUCGUGGAAUUCUGUCAGAUAAAACCCUAAGUCUAGGUGUUGGUUGCAUUUGGAUCCUUUUCCAUGAUUAGUUGAUGGUUAAAUAUGAGCAUUAAGGACCAUCAACAAGCUCCCCCAAGCUUAACCUUUGCUCGUCCCUGAGCAAAGAUGAACUCAAGAGUUUCUACAGUGGUUUCAUAACUUAAAGAUACACAUGCGUUUAAACAAGAUCUCAUUUCUGGUUAGAGUAAACUGUUAAGACUUAAAACUUACUCAUUUACCUUUCACCAUGGGACUUGUAAACGUCACUUUUGUCUUGAGUAGUUAAAAGAUAGAACGGUCUAAUGAAGCGCCAUGUCUCAUGUUCUUGAUCAACUAUAGCUCUGGAGUUUUUGCAGAUUUUCAAAUAAAACUCAGAGAUUCCUUGUAUGACUCUCUCUAGUCUCUCUUUUGUGGUAUUUCUGGAUCCUUACCAAGGCAGUAAUGGUGUAUGCCUUCUCUCAAAGUAUGUGGUAUUUGUGGUAUAAGGCAUAGUGACAUUGCCUUCUCUCUCACCCUACUCUAAUAAGGCUUUUGAUAUCUGGAGCUCAUAGGUGGGAGACAGCUAAUACAUACUUACAAGACAUUUAUUGCAUAGUCAAACCAUGGAUCCAAAAGAACAAGUCAAUAAGUCAAAUCAAGAUGUGCAUGUGUGGCGAAUGAAUGGUGUAUGGUGAUGAUGGUGAUAAUGGUGAAAGUCUAAUUCUACUUGUGCUCUUUUGAGGGGAUACAUACCUUUCUUGCUCUUUUGAAACUUUUUGAGGAGAAUGAGAUGCUCUAUAUUUUCUUUUUCUUUCCUCUCAGGUGGGUAUCUUGUACCCCUAAUUCUACUGUCGGACACUUGUCCAUUUUUACCUCUCGUCUCACUUUUUCUUUUCUUUCGAGGUUCCGGGCACUUGCCCCUUUUUAUUUCCUCGCAUCUUCUCUUUUUUUUUCUUUUUUUUUCUUUUUUUUAGAGCACUCAUCUCAUGAGAUAAUAUAGCAAGUGGUAGUAACAAGAUAACUUGAGCAUUUAUUUCAUAGGGGAAAACAGAAAUGUUUUUGGCUAUUCUCUCCCGGAUUAGGAGUAGAAUAUUUUUGGGUGAAUCUGGAGAUGGAAUGGAUGGAUAUAUGUGGAUGGUACUUCCGGAGUAGAAGUAGCAUAUAUGAGUGAACGUGCAAGUGAAAUCUUGAUUUAACCACAUGACAAGUCCCUAAGGAUCUACACAGCUUGACCACACUCAAUGCUCAUAAGCAGUAAAGUAAAUGUGUGGCUCAAAGUUUAGCAAGCAUGUAUAUAUGGCUGUGGUAGGAAUUUAAACUCUCAUCAUACAGGAACUCAUCAUGCAACAUUUUAAAGAUUUUCAAAGAUAAAAUUCUCCAAAAUUCUAGCAUCUCUAGGAACAGAUAAACAGCAGCUCAACCUUCCCAUAUCAUAUCCGUUAACGACUUAGACUUUAGAUCAAGUACUCUUCCCACAAGUUCAGGUUUAGAGCAAAUCUUAAUUAAUAACAGUCAUGCCUAAACUUGAGAGUGAUUUCAAUUUUGAGAACUAGUCAUGGCAGAGCAACUAUUCAUCAUUUCCAUGUGAGAGGUUAUCAUGAAGGUUCAUAGCGAUCUUUAUUUAUUUAGCAAACUAAGCAAAGAUAUAUAUAAGCACAAAAUUUUUAUUUGGGUUUUCAUGAUUAUGCAUCUUUUUAUUAUUUGAGUAAAGUAUAAAUGCGAGUAGAAACACUUAGCUAGAUAAAUGGGGGUGCUCUCCCCCAAGGUAGAUUUUGAUGUAAUUUCUUCUGAUGUAGCUAGCAGGUGGCGGAGAUGUAUUUGAAUGUCGGCAGCACCCUGACAGUGAGUAGGAUGUCCUCCGUCUGCUAGUCUUCUUUGAUCCUCGAAUUCUGUGGAGUUCAAAUAGACAACAAAGCUUUGUGGAACUGGUUAAGGGUUAGCGUAAAUAUCUAGCCUUUAUCAUGUUGAGCCUCCUCAAUAAAUGUUACUCUCUUUAGUAGGAUCACAAUCUUAUUUAUAUUUUCAUUUUUAUAGGACAGGAAUAUAUAUUUAUUUUUAUGCCACCACAGUCAAUGUACUUAUGGGUUUUAUGCCAUGAGCAUACUCACAUUGGGCUUACUAUUUUUAACAUUUUUAUUUUCUUUUCAAGAUAGCAUGAACCUGAUUAACUAAGCAAACUAUUUUAAAUAAUUGAAAGGAAAAAGAUAACUACCAAGUUUACCUCUUGGCAAGGCGUUCGGUGUUUUUAAGUCCUCCGAACGGGACUCUCCGUUUUCUUAGUCGUCCUGGGAUUCGCUGGAUGGCGUAGUCGGUGGUUCCGGUGGCGCUUCCUCUUCAUGUAUAACUAUCUUCUCUCUCCACACCUGACUCGGUGCUACGGUCUCCUCAGGACAGUUCUGUUCAAGUUGUAUAUCUUCAGACUUUACAACUUCUCCUUCAUAGUCUACCCAUCCGUCCUUGAUGAUUUUGCCUUCUCUGGUUACGGUUGCGUCGUCUUCUUCUUGUCCUGACCUGCUUGAAGUCUUCAACUAUAUAGUUAGGGUGAGUAAAAUAGCGGCAUACCUUCUCAGAGGGGAAGUUCAUGUCGACUUCUAUGGUUCCAAUGUAGAUGAUUGCUUUAAGGGUGCUGAGGAACGGUCUUCCAAGGAUGAUGGGUGGAUCGUACUUGUCUUCUCCCAUGUCAAUAACCUUAAAAUCAUCUCGAGCUAAAUGUAUGUCGGUUUUAGUGGCAUGGCUCCGAUCAGGAGUUGAUAGGUGACUGCGGCCAUUACGUUGACGUCUGACCCGGUGUCGCAAAACGUAUUAUGGAAGUUGUAUCCAUUAAUAGAGCACUAGAUGCUUGGCACACCAGGGUCGUCCUCCUUGAUCAAGAAAGGCGACUUGAGUCGACGAUCUUGACCUCCUUGAACUGCAGUGACCAUCUUAGCUGACUUGGUCCACAUUUGUUUGUUCUUAUUCCUCCUGUUGGUCCUCUUCCUUGGUUUAUGUCGGGAUUGCUCUGGGAUUUGUGUAGUCUUGUUCUUGAAGGAAAACGUCUCCUUCCUCCCUUUGAUGUAGAAACUGAUCUUGGCAGUACUAGCGUAGAUGAUAGCUCCCGAGGUGUUCAGGAAUGGCCUCCCUAGGAUGAUGGGUGCCCUCUCAUCAGUAUCAGUCUCUAUCACCACGAAGUCUGCUGGAGCAUAUAAGGUACCAACUCGGACGUAGAGGUUCUACAAUAUUACUUUUGGGAAACUUAGUGUCCGAUCUGCAAGCUGCAAAUACAGGGUUGUUUCUCGUAAAGGAUGUGUAAAGAAUUUUUCAUAGAGUACCCUGGGCAUAAUGUUGACGCUGGAGCCAAAGUCGCAGAGUGCUUCUGGGAAGUCCACCAUGCCGAUGGAGAUCGGGAUGACGGUGCGUCUUGGAUCGCCUCUUGACCAGCAGAAGUUCAGAAAUUACUUCCACCAUGGUGUUACUCCAGUAGUUACGUCCUCAAGCAUCUCAGGGCAGUGAUUGCCUGAGUGUCCAGUAUCUCCAGUGUGUUUGUGCUCGUAGAUCUAGGUUCUUCACUUGGUAGAGUCUAGGAGUUGUAAAACUCCUUCAUAUUUUGCUCGAAGUGUACCUGCUCAUAAAGACAAGGCAGAGAUCAAGUGCAUGGGCCCUGUUGGUGGAAAACACCAACAGAACCAAUAGUGUAUUUGUUCUACUCUAACCUUAAGCAUAGUGAGCAAGACAAAGUUGAUGGAUAAUAGGAUCAUGAGUGUAGCAUUUAAAAUAUUUGUCAG